rnacentral:hammerhead_ribozyme from 1 species
ACCCAUCUGGUGAGUCCCAGAUGGAACGAAAUGCGCAUCCUGGAU